AAUGCCCAAGGAUACACUGAUCUACCCGGCUCAUGACUACAAAGGUUUCUCGGUUAGCACCGUCAGAGAAGAGAUGCAAUACAACCCGCGACUAACGAAAGACAAGGAAACGUUCAAAAACAUAAUGGCAAGUAAGUAUCGAUUCUUGGUUAUCUCUCU